GCGGGCGUGGUGAAAUUGGUAAACACACAAGACUUAAAAUCUUGCGGCGUAACAGCCUUGCUGGUUCAAGUCCAGUCGCCCGCACCA
rnacentral:tRNA from 2 species